UACGUAGGGGGCAAGCGUUGUCCGGAAUCAUUGGGCGUAAAGCGCGCGUAGGCGGCCCGGUAAGUCCGUUGUGAAAGUCAAAGGCUCAACCUUUGAACGCCGAUGGAUACUGCCGGGCUAGAGUCCGGAAGAGGCGAGUGGAAUUCCGGGUGUAGCGGUGGAAUGCGUAGAGAUCCGGAAGAACACCGGUGGCGAAGGCGGCUCUCUGGGCCUUACCUGACGCUGAGGAGCGAAAGCGUGGGUAGCGAACAGG
rnacentral:rRNA from 1 species